UUGAGCCGUUGGUGAGAUACCACUCUAACAAUGCUAGGAUUCUAACCCUAUGUCGUUAUCCGGCUAGGGGACAGUUUCAGGUGGUCAGUUUGACUGGGGCGGUCGCCUCCUGAAAGGUAACGGAGGCGUGCAAAGGUUCCCUCAGGCUGGUUGGAAAUCAGUCGUAGAGUGUAAAGGCAUAAGGGAGCUUGAUUGUAAGACAUACAAGUCGAACAAAGACGAAAGUCGGCCUUAGUGAUCCGGCGGUACCGAGUGGAAGGGCCGUCGCUCAACGGAUAAAAGUUACUCUAGGGAUAACA
rnacentral:rRNA from 1 species